UGGGGAAUAUUGCACAAUGGGCGCAAGCCUGAUGCAGCCAUGCCGCGUGUAUGAAGAAGGCCUUCGGGUUGAAAAGUACUUUCAGCGGGGAGGAAGGUGUUGUGGUUAAUAACCACAGCAAUUGACGUUACCCGCAGAAGAAGCACCGGCUAACUCCGUGCCAGCAGCCGCGGUAAUACGGAGGGUGCAAGCGUUAAUCGGAAUUACUGGGCGUAAAGCGCACGCAGGCGGUCUGUCAAGUCGGAUGUGAAAUCCCCGGGCUCAACCUGGGAACUGCAUCCGAAACUGGCAGGCUUGAGUCUUGUAGAGGGGGGUAGAAUUCCAGGUGUAGCGGUGAAAUGCGUAGAGAUCUGGAGGAAUACCGGUGGCGAAGGCGGCCCCCUGGACAAAGACUGACGCUCAGGUGCGAAAGCGUGGGGAGCAAACA
rnacentral:rRNA from 1 species